UACGUAGGGGGCUAGCGUUGUCCGGAUUUAUUGGGCGUAAAGAGCGCGUAGGCGGCCGAGUAAGUCCGACGUGAAAUCUGGAGGCUCAACCUCCAGCGGUCGUUGGAAACUACUCGGCUAGAGACCGGAAGAGGAGAGUGGAAUUCCUGGUGUAGCGGUGAAAUGCGUAGAUAUCUGGAGGAACACCGGUGGCGAAGGCGGCAUCCUGGACCGGGAUUGACACUGAGGCGCGAAAGCCAGGGGAGCAAACGGG
rnacentral:rRNA from 1 species